UAAUCAGAUCAACAAAGAUUAUACUUCUUGGUAUGCUGCAGAAUUUUAGUAGUUUAUGUGUGCCAUGAGAUGAAAAACGUUGAAAAUCGCUGCUAUAGAUUGAUAAUUUAUUUGUCAUUUUCCCAGGAAAACAUAACCUCUGAUAUAGUAAAGAAUAGGAAGUAGUUGGAAAUAUUCUCUGAUUGGCUAAACUUAAAAUUACACUGUGCAGGGAUGCUAAUAUCCCUUUUAAAUGGAGACUGUCACCCUAAUUUGUUUAUUCUUGCACUUAAUUAGUUAUUAGUAUAUGCAUGAUUCAUGAGCCACAGUUUAGAAGCACUAUUUAGAAGAUUGGGUAAAGGGUCAAGGACACUCUAGAAACAGUGGUGGAUGAGAGUUUUUAAUAAGGGGCAGGAAAACUUAAAAUGCAGAUGCCAUAAGAACUUAUUGUCAUGUAGCCAUUUAGAAUUGGAACAAAUUGCUUUACAUUUCUUAAUACCCGUAUGGCUAUUGCUGUCUUCAAGAUACCACAGUAACCUCCUACAUAGUCACAGUGAUUACAAGUGCUUAAAUUAGGUUCACUACCUGCACUGGUAGAAGGACAUAGCUGAGAGUAUUUCUAUCCAGAAUGGUUGAAGUAAAGUUUGGGCAUUGAAAUGGGUAAACUGUUAUUUGAAAAACUCACCUUUGUGGAAUACUUCUUCUCUGAAGGUAGAGGACAAAUGAAGUCUUACCAUGUUUGGUUUGAGAAAAUUACUCUUUCUUUUAAAUAUAACUAGAUUCUUUUUGUUGAAAACCACAAGAUAAACAUUUCACACAGAUCAUCUUUGAUGUUUAUAUAAUGCAAAUAAGUGAUUCAUUUCAUAAAAUUACCUUAUUUCCAUCCGUACUAUAUUCCUAAAGGUGUUUUAAGGUUGAGUUUUAUUUUAAUUUGUCAGCCAUUACUGAAAAAUUUACUCUAAUGUAGUGACCAAGUCUGUAAAGAGAAAGACAAGGAUUAGGAAAAUGUGCUGUAUUGGGGUGCUGUUUAUUUUACCCUCCUAAAUUUUUGUAAUCUCAAGGUGCAUUUAUUUUAAAUGUUGAAAACAAAAAGUAAAUUAUGCUAACUUGUGGAAUGAGAGAUUAUGUUCACGUUAGUAAGUCGUCAAAUUUUAUCCCAAAGUAGAGCUAUCAAGAAUGAUUAUAGUCUGGUUCGGUAUAUAGUCUUUAUGAGCAGUGGUGCAAAUAAUAAGAGAGAAUCAUUAGGGUGAUACCUUGUUUUUGUGAUAUAAAAUUCUUUCCAUAGGUACAGAGAUAAGAAUCUUAGAGUAAAUUAUUUAUUUUUCUGUCUAAAGCUAUAUGACAUGAGAUUUAUUUCUGGGCAAGUUUCACUAGUAUUUAUUGUACCUUAUACAUAUCACCAAUUGAUGAGUUGGGGCUUCAGUUAUGUAGGUUAAUUUUUUUAAAGCUUUUAUUUAAUUUUAGA